rnacentral:rRNA from 1 species
UAUCUCUGUAGAGUCUGCAUAUCAAUAAGCGGAGGAAAAGAAACUAACUAGGAUUCCCUCAGUAACGGCGAGUGAAGCGGGAAGAGCUCAAAUUUGAAAUCUUCAAGGUUCUACCUUGACGAAUUGUAGUUUAAAGAAGUGUUUUCUGUUGGUGUUUUGGUAAAAGUUCUUUGGAAUAGGACAUCAUAGAGGGUGAGAAUCCCGUAUUUGACCAUUAUUUCCAGCUUUGUGAUACACUUUCAAAGAGUCGGAUUGUUUGGGAAUGCAGUCCAAAAUGGGUGGUAAAUUUCAUCUAAAGCUAAAUAUUGGCGAGAGACCGAUAGCGAACAAGUACCGUGAGGGAAAGAUGAAAAGAACUUUGAAAAGAGAGUUAAACAGUACGUGAAAUUGUCAAAAGGGAAGCGUUUGACACCAGUGUUGUUUUCUCGAAAAUCAAUUAAAAAAGGCAGGAUUUUGUGUUGUAUUGACUUUAUCAGCUUUCUGCACUCUUUUCUUGUCUUUUUUAAUGCACUUUUCAUUUAACAAGUCAACAUCAAUUUCUUUUGUUGUAAAAGGGUCAUUGGAAGGUGGCUUUCUUUUCGGAGAAAGUGUUUAUAGCCUUUGGCCUCUGCAAUCGGAGAGAUUGAGGUCUGCAGCGUAGAUCCUUCGGGGUUAGAUACAUUUGUGCUAAGUUAUAGCCUUUCAUAGACAACUUGUUGACUAUGAUCAGUCAUGUAGCUUACUCGCUUAUGCUAUUUUACCUACGCUUAGGAUGUUGAAGUCAUCGUAUCGCGC